rnacentral:piRNA from 1 species
UAAACUUUGGGCCUAGUCCCAGUUUG